CGUAGAGUGCGAGCGUUAAUCGGAAUUACUGGCCGUAAAGCGUGCGCAGGCGGUUUUGUAAGACAGAUGUGAAAUCCCCGGGCUCAACCUGGGACCUGCAUUUGUGACUGCAAGACUAGAGUACGGUAGAGGGGGAUGGAAUUCCGCGUGUAGCUGUGAAAUGCGUAGAUAUGCGGAGGUACACCGAUGGCGAAGGCAAUCCCCUGGACCUGUACUGACGCUCAUGCACGAAGGCGUGGGGAGCAAACAGGA
rnacentral:rRNA from 1 species